ensembl:lncRNA
AUUUACAUUGACAUCAUUAUUAUAAUAUUUAGGGUCAGACCCGACAGUAUUGAGAUUAAGAAAUCAAAUAUUCUAUAAAAUGUAAAUACACUGAACUAAUCUGGAUAUAUUUAAGUGAGACUCUACAAUAUUAUUUAUGACACAAAUCUAUCUAAAUCCAAAUGUUAAUCAUUUUUACUCCAAACAUUUACUGGACUGAUUUAAACAUUAAAAUCACUCCUUUCUAAUCCUCUGCUGUACGUUCAAACCUGAGGCCUUAAAUAGAAACACACAAGUAUCUGACUGAAGGAACUUCUGCAGAGUCCUGGUUCCAGAACAUGAUGAUAGAAUUAUAGACAAACUUUAACAAAAGCUGCCUGAGAGUUUACAGGUUUUUAUGUUGGAUUUCUUCAGUAAUUUAAUGAGUUAUCAGCAAAAAUCAAGUGUUCAUUUGAUGAAAUUCAUUUCCUAAAACAUCCAGAAUUGGAGCUCAUAUCUUUGGCAGCUGUAAAGUUUCUGCUCCUUCAAAGUUCACAACACAAUGAAUGAAUUCCUAAAACACUCUCAAUGCUGGAGAGCGUUUGUGAUGCUGAAGCAGUGACCAGUUUUUCUGUUUCUUCUCUGGAGAUGCACAAUGAGGGACGUCUGCAGAGACUGAGAAAGAGUCUCACCACAUCCUGACAUGAGGAAAAAGACUUUAUUGAAGACUAGAAUGAGAAAAACUAUCAGACAGCAGACGGCUGCAUUCAAGAGAGGAAGACCAUCAAACAUCCACGUCAGCUGAUUGAGGUCCAAGAGUCUCACCCAACAAACAACCUACAGAAUGAAGACCUCCAAUCUGAUUGGACGGCCUCCUAUUCAGCCACAUUUUAGGCUGUUAGAUUGUUCCAGAUAAGACAAGUACAAGAUUCUUCAGAGCCGUUCUACCAGGAGCCUGACAGGAAGAACUCCAACAGCUACUG